UACGUAGGUGGCAAGCGUUGUCCGGAAUUAUUGGGCGUAAAGCGCGCGCAGGCGGCUUCUUAAGUCUGAUGUGAAAUCUCGGGGCUCAAACCCCGAGCGGCCAUUGGAAACUGGGAAGCUUGAGUACAGAAGAGGAGAGUGGAAUUCCACGUGUAGCGGUGAAAUGCGUAGAUAUGUGGAGGAACACCAGUGGCGAAGGCGACUCUCUGGUCUGAUGAACUGACGCUGAGGCGCGAAAGCGUGGGGAGCAAACAGG
rnacentral:rRNA from 1 species